rnacentral:misc_RNA from 1 species
GGCGCUGUAAGCCUUGCGAUGGGCUGCUCUCAAGUACAAAGGCGAGCAGCCGUCCUGCCGCGCGCUAGCGAUGACCUCGCCGACCUUGUCGACGACCACGACGGCGACCGGCGGCAGUCCUUUCUGCUCGGCGUAGGUCAGCACGGCAUCGACGAUCUUUCGGGCGUCAUCGAGGUUGAGGACGUUGUACUCGAGCGGCAUCAGUGCGCCCCCGGCUUACCGCGGUGCUCGAAGCCUUCGCCGAGCAGGCUGAACGCUUUCUCGGCGAACUCGCCGUCGGAAACGUUGCCACCGCCGCCGGCAACAGCGACGGCGCCGACUACCUCCCCGCCGUGCAAGACGCACAUUCCGCCCGGCAGCGUAGAGAGCAUCGGAUCGUUCCAGUCGUGUGGGCCGCGCU